AGCGAACGCUGGCGGCAGGCUUAACACAUGCAAGUCGAGCGGGCAUCCUUGUGGUGUCAGCGGCAGACGGGUGAGUAACGCGUGGGAACGUGCCCUUCGGUUCGGAAUAACUCAGGGAAACUUGAGCUAAUACCGGAUACGUGCGAGAGCAGAAAGGUUUAUCUGCCGAAGGAUCGGCCCGCGUCUGAUUAGCUAGUUGGUGAGGUUAUGGCUCACCAAGGCGACGAUCAGUAGCUGGUCUGGGAGGAUGAUCAGCCACACUGGGACUGAGACACGGCCCAGACUCCUACGGGAGGCAGCAGUGGGGAAUAUUGGACAAUGGGGGCAACCCUGAUCCAGCCAUGCCGCGUGAGUGAUGACGGCCUUAGGGUUGUAAAGCUCUUUUCUUCGGGACGAUAAUGACGGUACCGGAGGAAUAAGCCCCGGCUAACUUCGUG
rnacentral:rRNA from 1 species